AGUGCUGGGAUUACAGGCAUGAGCCACUGCGCCCGGCCAGAAACAGACAUUCUUAUUCCUACAGAGCCCGUCAUGACAACAGCUGCCCUGCAGCACCUCUUCCAGACAUCACAAUGGGAAACAGGAAAUACGCUGUCCCUCUCCAACCUCUGCCUUCAUCUCCCCUCCCCUUGUACAAGUUCCUUCACAGAAGUUCUUUCACAUAAAUUUUGUGCAAAUGGAUUCCUGUGGACUUCAACUCUGACAAGUCUGAAUCCCAGUGGAAAUGCAAGUUAGCCUCAAACUGAGAACCUCAUACUACAUUCAGAAUAUGUUUUCAUGUUUCCAAAAUGUCACCAACAAUGAGAUGACAGGAACCUGAACCAAAAGGAUGAGAGUAGAGAUGGAAAGUAAAUGUUGUUACAAAGGCUAAAUCAGAAAUUUGUCCCAGAUCUAGUAUGGAUCAUGAAGAAGAAGAUAGAAUGAAAGAACACUCUUACCAUUCUGAGUGCCGAAAGCAGGAGGUGGUUCCUAAAAAUAUGAAGUUUGGGUAUCCUAUACAAUGAGAGAAGAAUGUCUAUCUUCAUUAUGUUCAAGUACCCAGAUAAAUGAACCUGCUGUUAUAAGGGGGAGACAUGACAAGCUUUACGUGUUGAAAAUACAAAGAGCCUGACCCUACAGGAAUCUUUCUUUCUGGCCUUUUUCAUCGAAACAAGGAAAGACUCUAUCUUUUGGGGGACCAGCUUUGUCAGUGACACUUCUGCUGAAGACAAGAUGAAUG